UUCAACAACGGAUCUCUUGGCUCUGGCAUCGAUGAAGAACGCAGCGAAAUGCGAUAAGUAAUGUGAAUUGCAGAAUUCAGUGAAUCAUCGAAUCUUUGAACGCACAUUGCGCCCGCCGUAUUCUGGCGGGCAUGCCUGUUCGAGCGUCAUUACAA
rnacentral:rRNA from 1 species